rnacentral:rRNA from 1 species
AGAGUUUGAUCCUGGCUCAGGACGAACGCUGGCGGCGUGCUUAACACAUGCAAGUCGAACGAUGAAGCCCUUCGGGGUGGAUUAGUGGCGAACGGGUGAGUAACACGUGGGCAAUCUGCCCUGCACUCUGGGACAAGCCCUGGAAACGGGGUCUAAUACCGGAUAUCACUCUUGCAGGCAUCUGUGAGGGUCGAAAGCUCCGGCGGUGCAGGAUGAGCCCGCGGCCUAUCAGCUUGUUGGUGAGGUAAUGGCUCACCAAGGCGACGACGGGUAGCCGGCCUGAGAGGGCGACCGGCCACACUGGGACUGAGACACGGCCCAGACUCCUACGGGAGGCAGCAGCGGGGAAUAUUGCACAAUGGGCGAAGGCCUGAUGCAGCGACGCCGCGUGAGGGAUGACGGCCUUCGGGUUGUAAACCUCUUUCAGCAGGGAAGAAGCGAAAGUGACGGUACCUGCAGAAGAAGCGCCGGCUAACUACGUGCCAGCAGCCGCGGUAAUACGUAGGGCGCAAGCGUUGUCCGGAAUUAUUGGGCGUAAAGAGCUCGUAGGCGGCUUGUCACGUCGGGUGUGAAAGCCCGGGGCUUAACCCCGGGUCUGCAUUCGAUACGGGCUAGCUAGAGUGUGGUAGGGGAGAUCGGAAUUCCUGGUGUAGCGGUGAAAUGCGCAGAUAUCAGGAGGAACACCGGUGGCGAAAGCGGAUCUCUGGGCCAUUACUGACGCUGAGGAGCGAAAGCGUGGGGAGCGAACAGGGAUUAGAUACCCUGGUAGUCCACGCCGUAAACGGUGGGAACUAGGUGUUGGCGACAUUCCACGUCGUCGGUGCCGCAGCUAACGCAAUAAAGUUCCUCGUCUGGGGAGUACGGGCGGCAAGCUAAAACUCAAAGGAAUGACGG